rnacentral:rRNA from 1 species
CUUUACUGUAGCCUGGUAUUGGGUUCGGGCUUUGACUGCGCAGGAUAGGUGGGAGACUAUGAAGCAAUCCUUGUGGGGGUUGCUGAGUCAACGGUGAGAUACCACUCUGUCAGAGCUAGAAUUCUAACUAAAUGCCGUUAUCCGGCUUUGGAACCGUAUCAGGUGGGCAGUUUGACUGGGGCGGUCGCCUCCUAAAAGGUAACGGAGGCGCGCAAAGGUUCUCUCAGGCUGGUUGGAAAUCAGCCGUAGAGUGUAAAGGCAGAAAGAGAGCUUGACUGCAAGAGCUACAACUCGAGCAGGGUGGAAACACGGCCUUAGUGAUCCGACGGCGCUGAGUGGAAGGGCCGUCGCUCAACGGAUAAAAGUUA